rnacentral:rRNA from 1 species
AGAGUUUGAUCCUGGCUCAGGAUGAACGCUAGCGGCAGGCCUAACACAUGCAAGUCGAGGGAGAAGCCUUCGGGCUGAAACCGGCGCACGGGUGCGUAACGCGUAUACAAUCUGCCUUUCACAUAGGGAUAGCCCGAAGAAAUUUGGAUUAAUACCUAAUGGUAUAUAAGAGCGGCAUCGUUUUUAUAUUAAAGCUACGGUGGUGAAAGAUGAGUAUGCGUUCUAUUAGCUAGUUGGAGAGGUAACGGCUCCCCAAGGCUACGAUAGAUAGGGGUUCUGAGAGGGAUAUCCCCCACACUGGUACUGAGAUACGGACCAGACUCCUACGGGAGGCAGCAGUGAGGAAUAUUGGACAAUGGUCGGAAGACUGAUCCAGCCAUGCCGCGUGCAGGAUGACGGCCUUAUGGGUUGUAAACUGCUUUUGUAAGGGAAGAAUAAGGAGUACGUGUACUUUGAUGACGGUACCUUACGAAUAAGCAUCGGCUAACUCCGUGCCAGCAGCCGCGGUAAUACGGAGGAUGCGAGCGUUAUCCGGAAUCAUUGGGUUUAAAGGGUCCGUAGGCGGGCUAAUAAGUCAGAGGUGAAAGCGCUCAGCUCAACUGAGCAACUGCCUUUGAAACUGUUAGUCUUGAAUGGUUGUGAAGUAGUUGGAAUGUGUAGUGUAGCGGUGAAAUGCUUAGAUAUUACACAGAACACCGAUAGCGAAGGCAUAUUACUAACAAUUAAUUGACGCUGAUGGACGAAAGCGUGGGGAGCGAACAGGAUUAGAUACCCUGGUAGUCCACGCUGUAAACGAUGGAUACUAGCUGUUUGGAGCAAUCUGAGUGGCUAAGCGAAAGUGAUAAGUAUCCCACCUGGGGAGUACGCACGCAAGUGUGAAACUCAAAGGAAUUGACGGGGGCCCGCACAAGCGGUGGAGCAUGUGGUUUAA